CAGAAAACCAGGUACAACAGAAAACCAGCAGGCUCCGGACCUCGUAGGGGUUGAAGCUUGAAGUUGCCAGACAGUGUUAGAGACGAGAGUUCAGUAGGGUUAUUGUCCUGCUGAAAGGUGAAUUCCUCUUCCAGUGUCUGGUGUAAAGCAGACUGAAGGUUUUCCUCUAGGAUUUUGCCUGUGCUUAGCUCCAUCCCAUUUCUUUUGAUCCUGAAAAACUCCCCCGUCGUUGCCGAUGUCACGCAUACCCAAACCAUGAUGCAGCCACCACCAUGCUUGAAAAUAGAGGACCUGAGCCCUAGGACCAUGCCUCAGGACUACCUGGCAUGAGGACUCCUUGCUGUCCCCAGUCCACCUGGCCGUGCUGCUGCUCCAGUUUCAACUGUUCUGCCUGCGGCUAUGGAACCCUGACCUGUUCACCGGACGUGCUACCUGUCCCAGACAUGCUGUUUUCACUCUCUAGAAACAACAGGAGUGGUAGAGAUACUCUUAAUGAUCGGCUAUGAAAAGCCAACGGACAUUUACUCCUGAGGUGCUGACUUGCUGCACCCUCGACAACUACUGUGAUUAUUAUUAUUUGACCAUGCUGGUCAUUUAUGAACAUUUGAACAUAUUGGCCAUGUUCUGUUAUAAUCUCUACCCGGCACAGCCAGAAGAGGACUGGCCACCCCACAUAGCCUGGUUCCUCUCUAGGUUUCUUCCUGGGUUUUGGCCUUUCUAGGGAGUUUUUCCUAGCCACCGUGCUUCUACACCUGCAUUGCUUGCUGUUUGGGGUUUUAGGCUGGGUUUAUGUAUAGCACUUUGAGAUAUCAGCUGAUGUAAGAAGGGCUAU
ensembl:lncRNA